rnacentral:misc_RNA from 1 species
GCGCAUUCGGCUGCGGGACGACCCACUGACGGUAGUGACUUGUACCGCCCGUGAUUUUUUCAAUGAGUCAAUGUCGAAUGCGUUCCGCCAGUAGUAGUUAUCGAGUCGGAAGCAACAUGUGCCGUUCCGAGUUGAGUGCGGUUAGGGUUCUCGACGCUUUCGCCGCGACCCUGAUGCUUUGCUGAACGACGACAAUUAUUAAAUUAAUUCGGUCGUGCAACGACGCAAUAAUAUUAUUACCGUACGUCAAUAACAACAACAAGAACAAUAAGUUAAAUAAUAACGUAAUUUUUUCUCCGUUUUCCGUCUUAAAGUCGCUUUUCCGCCGGAUUACUUGUUCACGGAAGUGACAUCAAAGUUCUUUUUUGUUUUUCGUUAUUCAUCUUUCGUUCAUAUUUUCGAGAAUAAAAAUCUUUAACGUAUUGUUGCUUACCCGAUUUCCACGACAUCCGCGGUGGCAUGAUGUUUUCCGGCGUCGAGUAUACCACAACUGCUGGGACUGUCGGAUCGUUGCAGUUACAGUCUCAGCACCACCCGUCGGAUGCGGCCGUUAACAAUCAAAGUUGCGUGGCGGAGACGUCCAACUUUGGCCAUCAUCUUCAUUCUGAUCAUCUGCUCCAGUACCAAGAUUACAAUCGUCUUCACCAUUAUAACCGUUACCAGUACUUUGCAGAGGCAUCACAACCCUCAACGAUGGUUACUACUCCCGCCGCUGCCUUGUUGCCUUCUCCUCCUGAUGAAAAUGAUUUCUACGGCACCUUUUUCCAACACGAUAACAACAGUAAUGACGAAGACCUUUAUCGUUCUACCGCCUCGUCUCUGCUGUCGCCUUCCUCGUCAUCGUCCUCGUCUUCGGCGUCGGCGUCUUCAUGCGCACCGCCAUAUCGUCAAGUGUUCUUGCCCACCCAACAAACGCACGAUUGUUAUGGAGUGCCAGCUCAUCCGUCUAUCGUCGAUUAUCAGCCACAUGUCACCGAUUAUCAUCCGCCGCCGGUUACUGAUUUUCCACUGACCGUAAAUUAUCGGUCGCCGCCGGUCUCCGAUUUUCAACGGCCACAUCAACAUUAUUAUCGUGACUUUUGCGCCCAACAGCCACUGUCGGUUUAUCACAAUAAAGAUAGCGCAUCGUCCUACGAUCACAACGGUCCUGAGUUGUCCACUGCCGCUACCACCGCCGCCGUCACCGUCACUAAUGUCCCCGCCACCGUGAAGUCACCCAAUUCUAGUAGACAAAUGAGAAAUCAAGCUGAAAAACUACGCCGAAGCAAGUUGAAUACGUGCAUCAACGAACUUUCGCAACUUGUGCCAUUGAUAUCAAAUUCCCCUAAAAAAAUAGAAAAAACCAGUGUUCUCAGGUUAAGCGCUGCAUACCUUCGACUGAGUAGGCUAUUAGCUGGAUUCAAAAAACAGCGUGAAGAGUUGCCAGCAUACGUAAGGGAGAUGAAUUUAUCUGAUCUCAUAUUAGGCGAUAAAGAUAUAUUCCUUAUGGUUUCAUCUGCUGGAAAAAUAGUGUUUGUGUCACACACAGUGGAAAACAUAUUAGGCCAUCAUCAGACUGAUCUCAUGGGCCAGUCAAUUUUUAAAAUUGCUUGUCCAGAAGACUAUGAACAGAUAAGGGAUAAUUUAAAGUACCAAGAAAAUACCUCAUCUGAAGAUGGUCUUCAAAGCACAAAGCUAGAAGGUAGUGGUAAUAAAAUGCAACGUCGAUCAUUUUAUAUGCGUUUGAUCAAAAAAACUGCAUCUCGUACAGACCCUCCAGAGUAUAAAUUGGUACAUGUUAUGGGCACAUUAAUGCAAAAUAAUGGUACAAAAAAUUCUUCACUCGGGGGAAAUGAUUUUGUACUGAAUGCCAUCAUCAGACCAUAUAAUGAUUUUCGAGUCACUGAAAUCUCAUUAUUAGAAGCUACCAAAGAAGAAUACAUUACUAGACAUCAAAUUGAUGGUCGCAUUAUAUAUGUUGAUCAUAGAAUAUCUAUUGUAUCUGGAUUUAUGCCUCAAGAAGUUUGUGGAAAAUUAGCAUUCAUGUAUAUGCACAAAGAUGAUGUCCGUUGGGUGAUGAUUGCCUUGAGACAAAUGUAUUAUAAAGGUCAAAGUUUUGGUUCUAGUUGUUAUAGAUUAUUGUCAAAAAAUGGUGACUUUGUAUACAUGAAAACACAUGGUUACUUGGAACUGAAUAUAAAUGAUGAAACAAUUGCAUCAUUUAUUUGUAUUAAUACUCGGGUGAGUACAGAGGAAGGAGAGAAAGAAAUAAUUAAAAUGAGAGAAAGAUUUACACCAUUGAUAAGUAAACCAGAACCUGGAAUCGCUGCAAUUACUAAUAAUCAAUAUAUGGCCAAAGAUUCAACUACAUCAUUAAAAAACGCUAGUACUGAAGAUCCUUCAACAUUAAAUAAAGCUGUACAACAAAUGUAUACUAAUAUUCCAGCUCCUGCAUUAGACAGUGUUAAAGAAAGUGCACAAAAUCCUUUGCCAGACAGCCAAUAUAUUAAGGUUGUACUUUUAUCGAAAUCCAUGCCUCCAGUUCAAACUGAUUCCAACACACCUAAAAUUGAUAAACGAUCAUCUAUGUCACCUCAACCAAAUAUUAAGCCACUUAUUCAAGAUCGUCCUACUGUACUUCAAAUCGCACCUCAUGCUCCUCGAUUACCAGUUGUUAUAGAUCAAAAAUCUUCUGAAAAAACAAUAGAGAAAGAUACAGAAUAUUUCAAGCAAAGAGGUGGUGUAUUAGUUAAUAACAAACGACAAAAUGAGUAUCAGUUAAUACCAGAUCACUUACCUAAGACACCAAAAAUAGAAACCCAAAUUGAUUCACCAACUUGUAGUCAGUAUAGUCAUCAAAUGGAUGGUUCUCAGUCCGACAACCAACUAAGCACUGAUGGUUAUGGUUCUUUGGAAGACUUUUCUAGCUUUCAAAGUACUCCUAUCCAAUUAGGUAUGCACUGUAUUGACGAGCAGGAUACUGAUUUAGAUUCUUUUAAUGAUGUAAAUAUUACCGGAUUUGACAAUUUUUCAAAAACAUUGGAAGACCAAUCGGAUUUGAUUGAUCCAUCAAUGGACCCUUUGUUUUUGACACCUGAGAGUUUUAAUUCAUUUGAUAAUGGUGUUUAUAUGGAAGGAAACUCAACUGAUAUCAUUCCUGAUCCUAUAAUGCAUGUACUACAACAUGAUGGAUGUUCACAAAGCGAAUUGCUUAAAAAAAAUCAAAUCACACUUAAAAGUAAGAUGGACCAACAACAUGGUCAGCUCAAAGAAAUUCAAAAAGGAUUAAAUUCACUUUCUUCAAAUGCUGAUACUCAUUACAUUGCUAAAAAUUUUACCAAUUUAAAAGCUGUGCAUGAAAAACAAAAUCAGUAUCUCCGUACACUACAAGAAGUACAUAAAAACAUCGGUGUGUGACGAUGAGUUUUUAUAUACUAUAAUUUAUAUAAUCUUUAGCUUUAUAACUUUGUUUGUUAAUGUUUUGAUGUUCAAAUGAUACUCUUUUCUAGAGUAAUGAAAAUAAUGUACGGUAAAAUUUGAAUGGUUUAAUUUAUUUUCA